UGUAGAAGUCCUGCUACUGGAGAAGCCCGGACAUUGACGAAGCCCGAAAGAAGCUCAGAGUAAAGUCGAUCGUGACAGGAGGAAGUCUAGAAGAGAUUCGGAGAGUAGUCGAUCACUAUAGAAAAUCGGUUGAUAGUGAAGCCUAGAGAGCAUUUGGAGCAGUCUGAUAGAUGGCUGAAGGAGCUCAUUAUUGAAGAAGUCUGGAGGGUACGAUAAGAGUUCGUCCGUUGGAGAAAUCUGGAGGACAUUGUGGAAGGUCGACUGCUGGAGGAGUCCGGAUGGUACUGUGGAAGCUCGGACGGUCGGGGGAGUUCAGAAAGAUGCCG
rnacentral:lncRNA from 1 species